rfam:Triticum aestivum genome assembly, contig: Triticum_aestivum_CS42_TGACv1_scaffold_030506_1BL
GUGGUACUCCCUCCGUCCGAAAAUACUUGUCAUCAAAAUAGAUAAAAAAGAUGUAUCUAGAACGUUCUAGAUACAUCUUUUUUAUCUAUUUUGAUGACAAGUAUUUUCGGACGGAGGGAGUAACAA